GCCAGGUGUGGUGGCGCACACCUGUAAUCCCAGUGGUUCCGGAGGCUGAGGCAGGAGGAUCGUGAGGUCAAUGCCAGCCUCAGCAACUUAGCGAGGCCCUAAGCAAGCUUGGUGAGACCCUGUCUCUA
rnacentral:sRNA from 1 species